AUCUGUCAAGAAAGCCUCAAUGCAGAAUCUUCAUCCAUCGUCCAAACAAAACCAGGCAUGUCGAAUCGAGGCCCAGCAAUAGUCCUAUAAAUGUAAAGCUUCUCAACAGGACAACUUUCUGGCCUUGAAUCUGGAGGUCCCCUCUCAUCAAUAACUUCAACAUUAAGCCUAGGCAUCUUCUGACCUAGCAGCUUACAUGCUCCAAAACUCACUGAGCAAGAAGACAUCCAAAGGGAUCGCAUUGUCUCCAGCUUUGCAGCAUUGACCAAAAGAGCCUUGUCCCCAAAGGGGCAAUCUCGAAUCUCUAGUUUGCGAAGGUUUUCACACCCAGACAGUACAUGAUGGAGUCCCAGAUCACUAUCUCCAGCAAAAGCUACAGAUAGCAUCUCUAGCUUUUUGGCAUGGGUUCCAAUAUACUCAAACACAUGAUCAGUGAGAAGACCUGACAAGGAAAGGCGCUGGAGGUCCUUGCAGUGUUCAACAAUAGCUCCAAAACCAUCAUCUAACGGCUGAAGGGUUAUGUAAUCAGGGGUUCUUGGUUCAAUAAUACAAAGACGAAAGCGAGUCAUGUUAGGACGGUUCUUGGCAAUUGUUACCAAUGCAUCAUUAGUC
rnacentral:lncRNA from 1 species